AGCUCCUUCCAAGGGGCAUUGGCCAAAGGGAGCGCAUCAGUCCCCAAGGGUACAGUAGGGAGCAUUUUUCUUUGAAGAGGGCUGAGUGUUUUUUUAAAUGAACAUGGCCUGGGGAGGUCUUCCGUGAGAAGUUUGCGCCUUUUCCAAAGGUGUCUUCGCUGUCUUCUUUUGGGGAAACCGACUCGACUCUGCCUUCUGUGUGCCUGCCUGUGGUCCCCAACAGCAGGAAGACCUGCGGCCACAGUGCAGAGGAUGCUGUGACGCUCACCGUGUUUUCUUUUCUGUCAUUGCAGGUGGACGGGACGGACGAUGAAAGCUUGUGGAGCUUCGUGAGUCUGUGUGACAGCGACCACGAUGAAAAUGACACAGACUCGGUGGUGGAGAGCAGCAACAGCCACCAGGAUGAGGAGGCUGCAGAAUCUUGCUUUGGGAGGAAAGGAUCUUGCUUCAGGAGCCUGAGGAUAAGUUUGUCCUCUGCAAGCCUGGCUAGACUAAUCCCCUGGUGGCCGCACAACAGGGUGCACCCAGCCACUGAGCCACAUGAAG